rnacentral:rRNA from 2 species
GGGUUGUGAGGUUAAGCGACUAAGCGUACACGGUGGAUGCCCUGGCAGUCAGAGGCGAUGAAGGACGUGCUAAUCUGCGAUAAGCGCCGGUAAGGUGAUAUGAACCGUUAUAACCGGCGAUUUCCGAAUGGGGAAACCCAGUGUGAUUCGUCACACUAUCAUUAACUGAAUCCAUAGGUUAAUGAGGCGAACCGGGG